rnacentral:lncRNA from 1 species
UCGAAAUGAGCUCUUGUGCAUGUGAUUCAGAUGUCACUGAGUUUUCUGGUCUCAUUCUUUUCUUGGAAGGAAGGAGGGCUCCAAAACUGGGGAUAGGUUAUCCGUGCUCUGAGUCUGAGAAGGGGAUUUGGGGGAGGCUUAAGGUAGAAACAAAAGAUCUCAGUUUUGCCAUCCAAAUCAACCCAUGGCCAGAUCAGAUUUAGGGUAAAUUGAUUUAAUGGUCAGGAAUGCAUUUGGUGGCCAGUCUUCCAGGGGGCCCAUGAAAGUUCAGGAUUUCUUCUGAAUUUUGUCCUUGGAGGUGUGGGAAGAAUGAAUAUUGAAUAUUCAUACUCAACAUGAAUAUUUUGGAAGCUGGGCCUGAAAGUUAAGGUUCACUGAAAGCUAAAAAUGAGAUGAACUCAGUGAAAGUACUGUGGAAAGAGGCACCUGGCUGGAUAUUUGAAUCUUCUUAACCCUGAGCUCUGCUUCAGUCUCAUCUGUUGUGUUCAUGACAUGACUCUCUAAUCACUAUGGGCAAUUGGGAAAAUGGUUAUUUUCAAAAAGAAAUUGACUUGUCUCUUCGUAGUUUAAUGUAGAAGCAGGUAUAGUUUGGUUAUGGUGAAAUCUGGUCCAAUGACGGCAUCCACAGAUGAGGCCAAAGCUUGAAUGCCCUUGGAGCCUAUACUGCUUUUAGGCCCUGGCAGAAACAUGGUUUUUAAAUCACAUUCCAAAGUGCAAUUACCAACAAUGAAUAAAUACAUCAUAACAAUGGGGGAAGCAGAAAAUGACUUUAGAAAGACAGAGUGAUCUUUUGAGACACAGUCUAUAUAAUUCCUAGGAAGCCCUGAUAGUAUCUUCUUGGGAAAUCUCCCUGCUGCAGGAAACUGCCUUCCUAGAUUUUACCUCACUGCCUCUAGUUGCAGUUACUUCAGGUAAACAGACCUCCUUUUAACUGUGACUCUUCCUCAGAGAACCAAAAUAUGCUUUGUUUUUUCUUGGGCCCUAUAGGAUCCUGGUUUGGGAUAAAUCUCAUAUGUCUAUUUUCCAAAGAUCAUUUUGGUUUCUCUGUAUUUGUAAAUGCACUUGAUUGUAAUCACAAAAGAAAAGACAGUGAUGCACUGUGUUGGCUCUGAAGAAAAACAUUGACCAGACAGAAAGUCUUCCCCAUAGCCAAACUGAGCUGUAAUGACCGUGCUUUUCAUUUCUCCCAGGAAAUAGUAAUAUAAUUGGUCACUGUAUUACAGUAAACAGUUUGUUCAUUCUUUGUUCAGUAGAAAAUGUUUGGGAGAUAUGUCUCACAUAAUAUGCUGGCUUCACGAUAAUAAAGACUGGGAAUAGAUUUGUUUCUAAAUAAAUCUCAAUAAAUACAUUGGUAAAAUGAACACAGUAGGAAGAAUAAACAAUGCAAUUAGGAAUAUCUUAAGUACAUUUACAUGUGAUAAUUUGCAAGUGAUCAUUACAUUAAGACAUGUCUUGGGCUGAUUUUCUCAAGGGCAUUUGUGUGAAAAAUGAACAUUUCUGAAUUAGAAUUUUUGUCAUGGAAUAGAAACAAGAGGUAAGAACAUGUUUUCGAAUAUGCAGUAAAAAGAUCACCUGCUCCUCUGAAGACCUAACACUGACAUUCAUCUUAGUACAUAAAAGAGAAAAUAUGCUGAGGAUGGGCAAUGUAGGAGUAGGAACUAUAACAGCAACAGCUGCAGAGGUGACUGUAAUUCUAAUGGAUUGCUUGUAGUGACAUCGGCAUGCUUCUGAAUUUGGCGGGAAAGUAAUGCACAGAAUUAAGACAGCAGCAUUAGUGUUGUGUUUUCUUAUUAGAAAACCUCAACAGCUCAUUGAAUGCAGGAAAAUUUUAGAGAUUCUAUUUUGCAAGAAGCCAAUGUAGUGGCUGCAAAAGUAAUAACACCAAAAUGGAAUGCACUAGGGAAUGUA